rfam:Camponotus floridanus CamFlo_1.0_3.contig6941, whole genome shotgun sequence.
UCAACGGCCCUUCUAAGGGCCAUGUAAAUAGACGUGUAAAAUAAA